rnacentral:rRNA from 1 species
CAAUAGCGUAUAUUAAAGUUGUUGCAGUUAAAAAGCUCGUAGUUGGAUUUGUGGUUGUUGCCUGCGUCUCUUCACCUUUUGGUGUUGAGUUUGUUUGGCAUCGCCAUCCUUGGGUGGAUCUCGUGUGGCAUUAAGUUGUCGUGCGGGGGAUGCCCAUCGUUUACUGUGAAAAAAUUAGAGUGUUCAAAGCAGGCUUAUGCCGUUGAAUAUAUUAGCAUGGAAUAAUAAGAUAGGACCUUGGUACUAUUUUGUUGGUUUGCGCGCCAAGGUUAUGAUUAAUAGGGCCAGUUGGGGGUAUUCGUAUUCCAUUGUCAGAGGUGAAAUUCUUGGAUUUCUGGAAGACGAACUACUGCGAAAGCAUUUACCAAGGAUGUUUUCAUUA